rnacentral:misc_RNA from 1 species
AGAGUAGCCCUAGGCUCUCCAACCCACUGUGAACAUACCUACGUUCCCCCGGCGGGCUCAGCGCGCGGUGCCUCCGGGCGCCGGGCGUCCGCCGAGGGCCCCCAAACUCGAAUUUAUUACGUGUAUAUCUGAGGGGCGAAAGCCUGUAAAAAUGAAUCAAAACUUUCAACAACGGAUCUCUUGGCUCU